CAUCUCUGAAACACCAACAGAAAGACCCUGAGUUGAUCUGAAUAACAGUCGCUGCUUCCAGUCAGCCUGACAGGAAGGAGGAUGUUCAGAAUGAUCUGAUGCUUUCAACAUGACGACUACAGGAAAGCAGAACAAAGCAGCAGGAAGUGUCUUCACCUUCUUGUCCUUGUUCUGAUCACAGAGUGGUUGUUCACAUCAGAACACAACCUUUUUAAAUCUCUUCAAAGCAAAACUCUUGUUUUAAUUCUGCUGAAAUGUUUUGUCGUUUUCCCCUCCCCUGCGGGAAAUAUUAGCUAAUGAAGGUAAAUGAAGUUAGUGUUGCUCUUGUCUGCUUAGAAAACGUGGCUGUUUGAUAGAUGUUAGAUUUAUUAUCGUUAGGCUGUUAGGCAGCUUUAAUUUGUAGACWGUUUGUUUUUGCUUCUUAAACUCCUCUUUUUGUUCUCACAGCUAAUAACRGGUUAGACCGCUCCAUGCUUAUCAUCUAAUAAGAGGGUUUUCAUCAGAAUGAGUUGCUGUAAAACGGGACAUUUAGGCAGAGCAACAAUAUUUUCACAACACGUCUAAAACAAGGGAAAAUCUGGUAGCAGCUUUUAUUACUGUUUAUAAGAAAGGAAUAAUUUCCGUUUUUUAUUUUCUCUAACCUUCUGUCCUGACAUCAGUGUGUUCAGAGCUAAAAGGCCCCUAGUUGUUCUGGGUAAAAGUACGUCAUCUCACUAAGCUGUGACUGAAACUACUUAGAGACUCAAAAUUAUGAGAAAAUAUAUUUUCUUAUUACUUCAUUGCUCCUUUCUGCCCUCAUCGUACCACAACCCGCUUUGUUYCUCCUUCACACACUUCAAGAACAUUUUUCAUGUGUGUGGCUUCUAGAUGUAAAUGUUUAGUGCUGUAGCUUCAGUGUCAAAAUGUAGCUGUAGCGUUUACAGAAACUAAAUGGAGAAAGGUUUGAUGUGUCUGCGACAGCUCUGAUUAGUUUUCAACAAAAUACGUCCAAAUGUUGUUGAACAUGUUCAUCAUGAGGCUCUCUGUGAGGAAACUCAGAAAGCCUGCAAACAUUUUGAGAUGACUGGAAAAACCUGACCCCAAAUUUAAAAUGUAAACAAUUUAAUGCAAUCUUAUAUUAUAACCAAUUGAAGCAGCUACAAAAUUUACAUAAGUAAAAAUAAGAAUAAAA